rnacentral:ncRNA from 1 species
AGUCAACUUUUCUCAGAAAAGUAUUUUGAGGGCCAGCAUGAAUAUUUUAUUUGAGAUAGCGCACUCCAUCUUUUCAAGAGAAAAGAGACCCAAGCGCUCGCAUGCCCUUAACGGAUUAGAUGAGAGGGUGGGCGAAAGUAGGUGAAAGUGACAGCACGAGACCUUCAAAACGAACCCUGCUGAAGGGUUCACGGCUAAGUCUAUAUAGAUAUGCCGAAACGUGCCGAGUAGGGUCAAACACACGACGAGGACCUAGACAAAGUUUUGAAAAAAACGACUUGUAGGGCGUGUUGAACGCAAGUAAAAAGUCUAGUUGUAAGCUGAAAUGCUUACAGAGUAAUCUAAUCC